CGGCAAUAGCUCAAGUUUAGAAUCUGUGACCAGUAGGUCAUCGAAUUGUAAUCUAAAGGGGUUAACAAAAGGGGAAAUUGAGGUAUAAGUUCCUUGGAACAGGACAUCAUAGAGGGUGAAAAUCCCGUAUGUAACCUCCGUUGAACCGAAUGUUGUCCUUCUAA
rnacentral:rRNA from 1 species